UACAGAGGUCUCAAGCGUUGUUCGGAUUCAUUGGGCGUAAAGGGUGCGUAGGCGGCUCUGUAAGUCGGGUGUGAAAUCUCGGAGCUUAACUCCGAAACUGCAUUCGAUACUGCCGUGCUUGAGGACUGGAGAGGAGACUGGAAUUUACGGUGUAGCGGUGAAAUGCGUAGAUAUCGGAAGGAAGACCAGUGGCGAAGGCGGGUCUCUGGACAGUUACUGACGCUGAGGCACGAAGGUCAGGGGAGCAAACGGG
rnacentral:rRNA from 1 species